rnacentral:lncRNA from 1 species
GUGGUGGCAUAUGAGUUUACUGAGAAAUAAAACCACAGAAAUAAAUACUCCUGAAAGAUUUUAAGGCAAAAAAAAUCUAUAUAUUGCUCCCUGUAAUACUGAAUACCCCCAUAUUUUGAAAAUAUUCAACCUUUUAUAGUUAAACUAGUAAUACCACUCAAGCAGAAAUUGAGUGGUACCAAUGAUAUAGCUUUAUCAGGUACUUUCAAUAUCUAGUGAAGACUUCAGCCCUGUAAGAGGCAAGUAAUCUGCCACUCCCCCUCAGAGGAAUUUUCCUUUCUGUGGCAGGAUAAGUCUGCAGGCUCUCCCUCAGAAGGCAGGAAUGAUCAGGAAACCCCAGGUCACAACAUGAAACAGAUCUGGUUUUUCACGAUCCUCAU